UGGGGAAUAUUGGACAAUGGGCGCAAGCCUGAUCCAGCCAUGCCGCGUGAGUGAUGAAGGCCCUAGGGUUGUAAAGCUCUUUCGCCAGGGACGAUAAUGACGGUACCUGGAGAAGAAGCCCCGGCUAACUUCGUGCCAGCAGCCGCGGUAAUACGAAGGGGGCUAGCGUUGUUCGGAAUCACUGGGCGUAAAGCGCACGUAGGCGGAUCUUUAAGUCAGGGGUGAAAUCCCGAGGCUCAACCUCGGAACUGCCUUUGAUACUGGGGAUCUCGAGUCCGGGAGAGGUGAGUGGAACUGCGAGUGUAGAGGUGAAAUUCGUAGAUAUUCGCAAGAACACCAGUGGCGAAGGCGGCUCACUGGCCCGGAACUGACGCUGAGGUGCGAAAGCGUGGGGAGCAAACA
rnacentral:rRNA from 1 species